rnacentral:rRNA from 1 species
UAGGGAAUCUUCCACAAUGGACGCAAGUCUGAUGGAGCAACGCCGCGUGAGUGAAGAAGGUUUUCGGACCGUAAAGCUCUGUUGUUGGUGAAGAAGGAUAGAGGUAGUAACUGGCCUUUAUUUGACGGUAAUCAACCAGAAAGUCACGGCUAACUACGUGCCAGCAGCCGCGGUAAUACGUAGGUGGCAAGCGUUGUCCGGAUUUAUUAGGCGUAAAGCGAGCGCAGGCGGAAGAAUAAGUCUGAUGUGAAAGCCCUCGGCUUAACCGAGGAAUUGCAUCGGAAACUGUUUUCUUGAGUGCAGAAGAGGAGAGUAGAACUCCAUGUGUAGCGGUGGAAUGCGUAGAUAUAUGGAAGAAUACCAGUGGCGAAGGCGGCUCUCUGGUCUGCAACUGACGCUGAGGCUCGAAAGCAUGGGUAGCGAACAGGGUUAGAUACCCUGGUAGUCCAUGCCGUAAACGAUGAGUGCUAAGUGUUGGGAGGCUUCCGCCUCUCAGUGCUGCAGCUAACGCAUUAAGCACUCCGCCUGGGGGAGUACGACCGCAAGGUUGAAAC